GACGAACGCUGGCGGCGUGCCUAAUACAUGCAAGUCGAGCGGACGGAUGGGAGCUUGCUCCCAGACCGUCAGCGGCGGACGGGUGAGUAACACGUGGGCAACCUGCCUGUAAGACUGGGAUAACUCCGGGAAACCGGGGCUAAUACCGGAUAACUCUUUCCCUCACAUGAGGGAAAGCUGAAAGAUGGCAUCUCGCUAUCACUUACAGAUGGGCCCGCGGCGCAUUAGCUAGUUGGUGAGGUAACGGCUCACCCAGGCGACGAUGCGUAGCCGACCUGAGAGGGUGAUCGGCCACACUGGGACUGAGACACGGCCCAGACUCCUACGGGAGGCAGCAGUAGGGAAUCUUCCGCAAUGGACGAAAGUCUGACGGAGCAACGCCGCGUGAGUGAUGAAGGUUUUCGGAUCGUAAAACUCUGUUGUCAGGGAAGAACAAGUACCGGAGUAACUGCCGGUACCUUGACGGUACCUGACCAGAAAGCCACGGCUAACUACGUG
rnacentral:rRNA from 1 species